ACGCACGUGUGAAACUUGAAGGAAUUGACGGAAGGGCUCCACAAGAACGCGUGGAGCAUGUGGCUUAAUUUGACCCAACGCGGGAAAUCUUACCGGGUCCGGACACACUGAGGAUUGACAGGCAAUAUUAAAUAAAGAAAAUUUUUGGACUAUCUGAUAUUUAUGUUAAAUAUGCUAGUCCUUUCAUGAUUAUGUGAUAGGUGGUGCAUGGCCGUUCUUAGUUCGUGGAGUGAUCUGUCUGCUUAAUUGCGUUUCACUAAGGGCUUAUCUAAUUAUAACGUGUGUUGCUAGAGUUUUAUACCUUUGUGACCCCUUUAAUUAGUGUGUGUCUAUAAUGGUAGCUUUGGCUCACACAAUUAAGUCCUGAAAGCAACGAACGUGACCG
rnacentral:rRNA from 1 species